rnacentral:rRNA from 1 species
UUAAGCGACUAAGCGUACACGGUGGAUGCCCUGGCAGUCAGAGGCGAUGAAGGACGUGCUAAUCUGCGAUAAGCGUCGGUAAGGUGAUAUGAACCGUUAUAACCGGCGAUUUCCGAAUGGGGAAACCCAGUGUGAUUCGUCACACUAUCAUUAACUGAAUCCAUAGGUUAAUGAGGCGAACCGGGGGAACUGAAACAUCUAAGUACCCCGAGGAAAAGAAAUCAACCGAGAUUCCCCCAGUAGCGGCGAGCGAACGGGGAGCAGCCCAGAGCCUGAAUCAGUGUGUGUGUUAGUGGAAGCGUCUGGAAAGGCGUGCGAUACAGGGUGACAGCCCCGUACACAAAAAUGCACAUGCUGUGAGCUCGAUGAGUAGGGCGGGACACGUGGUAUCCUGUCUGAAUAUGGGGGGACCAUCCUCCAAGGCUAAAUACUCCUGACUGACCGAUAGUGAACCAGUACCGUGAGGGAAAGGCGAAAAGAACCCCGGCGAGGGGAGUGAAAAAGAACCUGAAACCGUGUACGUACAAGCAGUGGGAGCACAGAGCAAUCUGUGUGACUGCGUACCUUUUGUAUAAUGGGUCAGCGACUUAUAUUCUGUAGCAAGGUUAACCGAAUAGGGGAGCCGAAGGGAAACCGAGUCUUAACUGGGCGUUAAGUUGCAGGGUAUAGACCCGAAACCCGGUGAUCUAGCCAUGGGCAGGUUGAAGGUUGGGUAACACUAACUGGAGGACCGAACCGACUAAUGUUGAAAAAUUAGCGGAUGACUUGUGGCUGGGGGUGAAAGGCCAAUCAAACCGGGAGAUAGCUGGUUCUCCCCGAAAGCUAUUUAGGUAGCGCCUCGUGAAUUCAUCUCCGGGGGUAGAGCACUGUUUCGGCAAGGGGGUCAUCCCGACUUACCAACCCGAUGCAAACUGCGAAUACCGGAGAAUGUUAUCACGGGAGACACACGGCGGGUGCUAACGUCCGUCGUGAAGAGGGAAACAACCCAGACCGCCAGCUAAGGUCCCAAAGUCAUGGUUAAGUGGGAAACGAUGUGGGAAGGCCCAGACAGCCAGGAUGUUGGCUUAGAAGCAGCCAUCAUUUAAAGAAAGCGUAAUAGCUCACUGGUCGAGUCGGCCUGCGCGGAAGAUGUAACGGGGCUAAACCAUGCACCGAAGCUGCGGCAGCGACGCUUAUGCGUUGUUGGGUAGGGGAGCGUUCUGUAAGCCUGCGAAGGUGUGCUGUGAGGCAUGCUGGAGGUAUCAGAAGUGCGAAUGCUGACAUAAGUAACGAUAAAGCGGGUGAAAAGCCCGCUCGCCGGAAGACCAAGGGUUCCUGUCCAACGUUAAUCGGGGCAGGGUGAGUCGACCCCUAAGGCGAGGCCGAAAGGCGUAGUCGAUGGGAAACAGGUUAAUAUUCCUGUACUUGGUGUUACUGCGAAGGGGGGACGGAGAAGGCUAUGUUGGCCGGGCGACGGUUGUCCCGGUUUAAGCGUGUAGGCUGGUUUUCCAGGCAAAUCCGGAAAAUCAAGGCUGAGGCGUGAUGACGAGGCACUACGGUGCUGAAGCAACAAAUGCCCUGCUUCCAGGAAAAGCCUCUAAGCAUCAGGUAACAUCAAAUCGUACCCCAAACCGACACAGGUGGUCAGGUAGAGAAUACCAAGGCGCUUGAGAGAACUCGGGUGAAGGAACUAGGCAAAAUGGUGCCGUAACUUCGGGAGAAGGCACGCUGAUAUGUAGGUGAAGCGACUUGCUCGUGGAGCUGAAAUCAGUCGAAGAUACCAGCUGGCUGCAACUGUUUAUUAAAAACACAGCACUGUGCAAACACGAAAGUGGACGUAUACGGUGUGACGCCUGCCCGGUGCCGGAAGGUUAAUUGAUGGGGUUAGCGCAAGCGAAGCUCUUGAUCGAAGCCCCGGUAAACGGCGGCCGUAACUAUAACGGUCCUAAGGUAGCGAAAUUCCUUGUCGGGUAAGUUCCGACCUGCACGAAUGGCGUAAUGAUGGCCAGGCUGUCUCCACCCGAGACUCAGUGAAAUUGAACUCGCUGUGAAGAUGCAGUGUACCCGCGGCAAGACGGAAAGACCCCGUGAACCUUUACUAUAGCUUGACACUGAACAUUGAGCCUUGAUGUGUAGGAUAGGUGGGAGGCUUUGAAGUGUGGACGCCAGUCUGCAUGGAGCCGACCUUGAAAUACCACCCUUUAAUGUUUGAUGUUCUAACGUUGACCCGUGAUCCGGGUUGCGGACAGUGUCUGGUGGGUAGUUUGACUGGGGCGGUCUCCUCCUAAAGAGUAACGGAGGAGCACGAAGGUUGGCUAAUCCUGGUCGGACAUCAGGAGGUUAGUGCAAUGGCAUAAGCCAGCUUGACUGCGAGCGUGACGGCGCGAGCAGGUGCGAAAGCAGGUCAUAGUGAUCCGGUGGUUCUGAAUGGAAGGGCCAUCGCUCAACGGAUAAAAGGUACUCCGGGGAUAACAGGCUGAUACCGCCCAAGAGUUCAUAUCGACGGCGGUGUUUGGCACCUCGAUGUCGGCUCAUCACAUCCUGGGGCUGAAGUAGGUCCCAAGGGUAUGGCUGUUCGCCAUUUAAAGUGGUACGCGAGCUGGGUUUAGAACGUCGUGAGACAGUUCGGUCCCUAUCUGCCGUGGGCGCUGGAGAACUGAGGGGGGCUGCUCCUAGUACGAGAGGACCGGAGUGGACGCAUCACUGGUGUUCGGGUUGUCAUGCCAAUGGCACUGCCCGGUAGCUAAAUGCGGAAGAGAUAAGUGCUGAAAGCAUCUAAGCACGAAACUUGCCCCGAGAUGAGUUCUCCCUGACUCCUUGAGAGUCCUGAAGGAACGUUGAAGACGACGACGUUGAUAGGCCGGGUGUGUAAGCGCAGCGAUGCGUUGAGCUAACCGGUACUAAUGAACCGUGAGGCUUAACCUU